rnacentral:rRNA from 1 species
UACGUAGGGUGCGAGCGUUGUCCGGAAUUAUUGGGCGUAAAGAGCUCGUAGGCGGUUUGUUGCGUCGGCCGUGAAAACCUGCAGCUUAACUGUGGGCCUGCGGCCGAUACGGGCAGACUUGAGUUCGGUAGGGGAGACUGGAAUUCCUGGUGUAGCGGUGAAAUGCGUAGAUAUCUGGAGGAACACCGGUGGCGAAGGCGGCAUCCUGGACCAAUUCUGACACUGAGGAGCGAAAGCCAGGGGAGCAAACGGG